rnacentral:lncRNA from 1 species
CUGUGUGUGUGUGUGUGUGUGUGUGUGUUAGCUUUUCACUGUUAUGACAAAGUACCUGCGAAAAUCAACUUAAAAGAGGAAAGAUUUAUUUUGGCUCACAGUUUCAAAGGUUUCAUUUUAUUAUCAACUGGUUCCAUUGUUUCUGGGUCAUGGUGAAACAAUGUAUCACUAUAGAAGGGUGUGAUGGAACAAAGCUGCCCACUUUAUAGCAGGAAGGGGGGCCAGGGACAAGUUAUAGGACCUCAAGGUCCCUCUCCCUUCAACUAAGUCCCAUUUCAUUUUCACCUCUUCCCAGUAGUCAACUCAAAUUAUGAAUCCUUCAAUGGAUUAAUCCACUGAUGAGGUCAGAGUCCUCAUGAUCUAAUCACUUCUAAAAGUCCUGACUCUUAACAUUGCUGCACUGGGGACCAGCCUUUCAACACACAAGAUUUUAAGGGAUAUUCCAA